CAUAUGCCGCGAGGUGAAAUGAAAUUCGCCUGAGGAUGAGCCCGCGUCUGAUUAGCUAGUUGGUGGGGUAAAGGCCUACCAGGGCUACGAUCAGUAGCUGGUCUGAGAGGAUGAUCAGCCACACUGGGACUGAGACACGGCCCAGACUCCUACGGGAGGCAGCAGUGGGGAAUUUUCCGCAAUGGGCGAAAGCCUGACGGAGCAACGCCGCGUGAGGGAUGAAGGCCUCUGGGCUGUAAACCUCUUUUCUCAAGGAAGAAGAUCUGACGGUACUUGAGGAAUAAGCCACGGCUAAUUCCGUGCCAGCAGCCGCGGUAAUACGGGAGUGGCAAGCGUUAUCCGGAAUUAUUGGGCGUAAAGCGUCCGCAGGCGGCUCUGUAAGUCUGCUGUCAAAGCGUGGAGCUUAACUCCAUUUCGGCAGUGGAAACUACAGGGCUUGAGUGUGGUAGGGGCAGAGGGAAUUCCCGGUGUAGCGGUGAAAUGCGUAGAUAUCGGGAAGAACACCAGUGGCGAAGGCGCUCUGCUGGGCCAUAACUGACGCUCAUGGACGAAAGCCAGGGGAGCGAAAGGGAUUAGAUACCCCUGUAGUCCUGGCCGUAAACGAUGAACACUAGGUGUCGGGGGAAUCGACCCCCUCGGUGUCGUAGCCAACGCGUUAAGUGUUCCGCCUGGGGAGUACGCACGCAAGUGUGAAACUCAAAGGAAUUGACGGGGGCCCGCACAAGCGGUGGAGUAUGUGGUUUAAUUCGAUGCAACGCGAAGAACCUUACCAGGGUUUGACAUCCUGCGAACCUCUGAGAAAUCGGAGGGUGCCUUCGGGAACGCAGAGACAGGUGGUGCAUGGCUGUCGUCAGCUCGUGUCGUGAGAUGUUGGGUUAAGUCCCGCAACGAGCGCAACCCACGUCGUUAGUUGCCAGCAUUCAGUUGGGCACUCUAGCGAGACCGCCGGUGAUAAACCGGAGGAAGGUGUGGACGACGUCAAGUCAUCAUGCCCCUUACAUCCUGGGCUACACACGUACUACAAUGCUGCGGACAAAGGGCAGCGAGCUCGCAAGAGUAAGCAAAUCCCAUAAACCGUGGCUCAGUUCAGAUCGUAGGCUGCAACUCGCCUACGUGAAGGAGGAAUCGCUAGUAAUCGCAGGUCAGCAUACUGCGGUGAAUACGUUCCCGGGCCUUGUACACACCGCCCGUCACACCAUGGAAGUUGGCCAUGCCCGAAGUCGUUACUCCAACCCUUGUGGAGGAGGACGCCGAAGGUGGGGCUGAUGACUGGGGUGAAGUCGUAACAAGGUAGCCGUACCGGAAGGUGCGGCUGGAUCACCUCCUAACAGGGAGACAAACUGAUGGUGAUGUCUGAGUAAUUAUAAUCUCAGGCCGCUAUCCUGUCAUCUUUAGGUCGAUCGGUACCUCAGGGAGUUUGCUGUGGAAAAGGGUGGCAACACCAAGGUGGUAACACCGAGGUGAAGAUAUUCGAUUCAGCGGCAACACUUUUUCAGUUCCUAAACUUUGUCUAGGUCACCCCACAGCGGGAAAGUUCCUGGGCCAUUAGCUCAGGUGGUUAGAGCGCACCCCUGAUAAGGGUGAGGUCCCUGGUUCAAGUCCAGGAUGGCCCAUUCAUGUUUGGGGGUUUAGCUCAGUUGGUAGAGCGCCUGCUUUGCAAGCAGGAUGUCAGCGGUUCGAGUCCGCUAACCUCCAUCCAAGUGAGAAGCUUAACUCCUGAAUGAAAUACUGGGAAGCCGUUGUGUGGAGGAUCGAGACGUGUUCAGCUUGAGAAGCCUGAUUGACUUCAGCCUUCUCCAUCGUUUUGUCUGAAUUUGAUAGCGAGUGAUGUUGUCGAAAGACAAUGUUUCGGGAGCUAGUCAGAAAGGAUAGUAAAAGAUGGAGAAUGCUGAACUCUGAGAAGGGUUUAGCAACGAACCUUGACAACUGCAUAGGUGAGUCUGGAUAAAUAAGCAUCUCAUAGAUGCCUCAUCCAGGGUCGAGACGACUGAUGCUUUCGAGAGAAAGUUUUGGUUUGUUUGCCCUGAAUGAGGAAAAAUUCUUGAGAAUAAAGCCGAGAUCUUCCAGUAGGUUUUUAUCAUUCCGAUAAAAAGCAGGAAACAAUGUUUCUGAGAAGCUGAGAAGAUGUAAUGGUCAAGCUACAAAGGGCUCACGGUGGAUACCUUGGCACACAGAGA
rnacentral:misc_RNA from 1 species